rnacentral:tRNA from 1 species
GGCGGCGUAGCUCAGAGGUAGAGCAGGCGGCUCAUACCCGCCGUGUCCGGGGUUCGAUUCCCUGCGCCGCCA